CUUCCUUCUGUCCUUUGUUCCAUCAUGAGAGUUCCAGACACCCCGCCUACUCCAGAGAUGCUGAACUGGUGCCUGUGUUGGUUAAAAUUAUCAGUUGUUGGAGUGCCAGUGUGCAUCCCCCAAACCAAUGUAGCAUUUGUGGCAGCUGAAGGAAUGGAGAUGGUAACACCAGAGGAGAACAGGGCCCAGCAGCAUCCAUGGCAGAGCAUCUCCUGGGACCAUGACACAGCCCAUUCUUGGCUCCCCCUCCUUCUGGGAUGAGGAUUGGGUACAGAGCCUCUGCAAGAGCUGAAGCAGCUCAGAGCUCUGCAGAAAGAGCUCCAGUGGUCCUGGCCAUGAGGCUUUUUCAUCUACAAGAUCCAGGGAGCCCAAGUUCCCACUCACCCCUUCCAGGACCCUCCAGGACAUGCAAGACACCACUGCUAUGGGAAUGACCCCAGAGAUGGCCACAUCAUCCCGCAGCUUCCAUGUCAUCUUCCAUUUCCCCCAGCUUCCCAGGAGCCAUGGUGGGAAAGAUACACUCCAUCCCAGCCAGCCCUGACCUUAUCCCACCAACUCAUCAUCUUCUCCUUGGGGCUGGCUGUUUCCCACACACCUCAACUCUCCAGAUGUAACUGCUGUAACUCGCUCUGCCUUGGAAGGAGGACACAACACACUGGAAAAACACAGAAGUCAUCAAAAUUCAUCUCUUUGUGAGGCCAGCACUGCGGGAAGCCACAGGUGCUGUGCUGGUAGACAUCACAAUCAGGUUCAUUGCUCUGGUGCUUCAGACCUUGCAUUCCUCCCCCCAGUCAGAAACCAGUGGGGACAUCCCCUUUAUUUCUGCUACUAAACUCUAUCAGGUGCUUUGAAGUGACUAAUUCCAGGUAAACAAGGAGUUCUGAGGUGGUUCUAAUUGAUGCCACGUGCCAGUCUCAUCACGAGCAACUGCAGGACAGUGCAUGGUGCACCACGAAGGAAGGAGAGUGGAAAGGAAUGAAUAAAUAUUAUUUAAAGAGCAUGAAUAGAAA